rnacentral:rRNA from 1 species
AGCGAACGCUGGCGGCAGGCCUAACACAUGCAAGUCGAACGAACUCUUCGGGGUUAGUGGCGGACGGGUGAGUAACACGUGGGAACGUGCCUUUUGGUUCGGAAUAACUCAGGGAAACUUGUGCUAAUACCGAAUGUGCCCUUCGGGGGAAAGAUUUAUCGCCAUUAGAGCGGCCCGCGUCUGAUUAGCUAGUUGGUGAGGUAACGGCUCACCAAGGCGACGAUCAUUAGCUGGUCUGAGAGGAUGACCAGCCACACUGGGACUGAGACACGGCCCAGACUCCUACGGGAGGCAGCAGUGGGGAAUCUUGCGCAAUGGGCGAAAGCCUGACGCAGCCAUGCCGCGUGAAUGAUGAAGGUCUUAGGAUUGUAAAAUUCUUUCACCGGGGACGAUAAUGACGGUACCCGGAGAAGAAGCCCCGGCUAACUUCGUG